UUGGCGGACGGGUGAGUAAUGCCUAGGAAUCUGCCUGGUAGUGGGGGACAACGUUUCGAAAGGAACGCUAAUACCGCAUACGUCCUACGGGAGAAAGUGGGGGAUCUUCGGACCUCACGCUAUCAGAUGAGCCUAGGUCGGAUUAGCUAGUUGGCGAGGUAAAGGCUCACCAAGGCGACGAUCCGUAACUGGUCUGAGAGGAUGAUCAGUCACACUGGAACUGAGACACGGUCCAGACUCCUACGGGAGGCAGCAGUGGGGAAUAUUGGACAAUGGGCGAAAGCCUGAUCCAGCCAUGCCGCGUGUGUGAUGAAGGCCUUCGGGUUGUAAAGCACUUUUGGCAGGAAAGAAACGUCAUGGGUUAAUACCCCGUGAAACUGACGGUACCUGCAGAAUAAGCACCGGCUAACUACGUGCCAGCAGCCGCGGUAAUACGA
rnacentral:rRNA from 1 species